rnacentral:tRNA from 1 species
GUCCCUGUAGCUCAGCUUGGAUAGAGCACUUGCCUCCUAAGCAAGGGGUCGCGCGUUCGAAUCGCGCCGGGGACG